CAAUCACAAGAGGGAAAUAAGUCAUAGAUGGCAGCUUCCUACACCCACUUCUCUUGAGAGUAGAUGGAAGCCCUGAUGAAAAGGCAGGAGCACUGGCAGCUCAACAAAUCCUGGUGUUCACCAUGUCACCCUGCCCCAGCCCACCUCAGCCAGUUCCUGGUCCCUCCCCAGAAGGAAGCUCCCAACUUCAUUUACUGUGUCUGCACCGAGUCUCUGUGAAGUGUGGACCUCUGCCAUGGCUUUCCCAGAGAGUCAAAAGCCGCUUGGCCAGUCUGGGACACAGGCCUUCUCCAUGGUGCCACACUUGCCCCUCUACAGUUCAGAGCUCUUCUUUGCUUGCCUUCUCCCCACCCCUCACAAUGACCAGAGAACCUUCUGGUAGCCUAAAGUCCUGCUACCUUUUGUGUGGACUACCAAUGAACAAAACUGCCAUCUUAGGGGCCGUGAUGUUGCCUGGUUUUAUAGAGAAAAUAUUAUGAUGGUAAAAUCUCCCAGAAGUG
rnacentral:lncRNA from 1 species